GACGAACGCUGGCGGCGUGCUUAACACAUGCAAGUCGAGCGGUAAGGCCCUUUCGGGGGUACGACGAGCGGCGAACGGGUGAGUAACACGUGGGUGACCUGCCCUCAGCUCUGGGAUAAGCCUGGGAAACCGGGUCUAAUACUGGAUAUGACUCCAUGACGCAUGUUGUGGGGUGGAAAGCCUCGUGCGGCUGAGGAUGGGCCCGCGGCCUAUCAGCUUGUUGGUGGGGUGANGGCCUACCAAGGCGACGACGGGUAGCCGGCCUGAGAGGGCGACCGGCCACACUGGGACUGAGACACGGCCCAGACUCCUACGGGAGGCAGCAGUGGGGAAGUCUUGCGCAAUGGGCGAAAGCCUGACGCAGCGACGCCGCGUGAGGGAUGACGGCCUC
rnacentral:rRNA from 1 species